rnacentral:rRNA from 1 species
AGCAGCAGCCGCGGUAAUACGAAGGGUGCAAGCGUUAAUCGGAAUUACUGGGCGUAAAGCGUGCGUAGGCGGUUUGUUAAGUCUGCUGUGAAAUCCCCGGGCUCAACCUGGGAAUGGCAGUGGAUACUGGCAAGCUAGAGUGUGUCAGAGGAUGGUGGAAUUCCCGGUGUAGCGGUGAAAUGCGUAGAGAUCGGGAGGAACAUCAGUGGCGAAGGCGGCCAUCUGGGACAACACUGACGCUGAGGCACGAAAGCGUGGGGAGCAAACAGGAUUAGAUACCCGGGUAGUCCCUGUCUCUUAUAC